rnacentral:rRNA from 1 species
UAGGGAAUCUUGCGCAAUGGGCGAAAGCCUGACGCAGCCAUGCCGCGUGAAUGAUGAAGGUCUUAGGAUUGUAAAAUUCUUUCACCGGGGAAGAUAAUGACGGUACCCGGAGAAGAAGCCCCGGCUAACUUCGUGCCAGCAGCCGCGGUAAUACGAAGGGGGCUAGCGUUGCUCGGAAUUACUGGGCGUAAAGGGCGCGUAGGCGGAUAUCUAAGUUGGGGGUGAAAGCCCGGGGCUCAACCUCGGAAUAGCCUUCAAUACUGGAUAUCUUGAGUUCGGGAGAGGUGAGUGGAAUGCCGAGUGUAGAGGUGAAAUUCGUAGAUAUUCGGCGGAACACCAGUGGCGAAGGCGACUCACUGGCCCGAUACUGACGCUGAGGCGCGAAAGCGUGGGGAGCAAACAGGAUUAGAUACCCUGGUAGUCCACGCCGUAAACGAUGAGUGCUAGUUAUCGGCAUGCAUGCAUGUCGGUGACGCAGCUAACGCAUUAAGCACUCCGCCUGGGGAGUACGGUCGCAAGAUU